GUGCAAGUCAGUUCAAUGAGGAAGUGCUCCACUAGAGGAAGGAUGCAGCUUAUACACUUGUGUGCUGCUUCUGCAGUUUUACAACUAAAACUUCUGAGAACACUGUGAACGGUUUGACUUGAAGCGAUCUCUGGAAUGCACGUUUAAAAUGCAGAUCAGUUCAAGCUGUACAAUCCUCUCCAUGUUAGUAUUAAAUAUUUUGUGUACAGGCCAUGGAAAUGAGGACUGGAGUAUCACAUUCAAUCCACCAGAAAUGAUUGCAGUUCCAGGAUUAUGUGCUCUGAUUUCAUGUACCUUCACCUAUCCAAAUGAAGCGAAACCUAUUGAUACUGUUCAGUGGAGAGUGUGUCAUAAAAAUAGU